GACAUGUGCAGGCUCACUCGGGAACAUAAAUCCUGCUUCCACUAAUUUGCCUUUUGCGGUCCCAUUUACAGAGUGGAAAUGCUUACAAGAGGUUUUAGCAUCUGCAGCCACCUGCCAGAGGAAGUUGCUGGCAGCCAGGCCUUCAAGAAGUGACAACUGCAUCCUGAAGUUAUCUAGGGGACCACCUUGAAUUAACUCACUAGCAGAACAAAGACAGUCCUAUCACUGAGGAAAUCCCAAGGGUUUGAAGUUCUGUGGCAGGACCUGGGAACAAAGACCAGAUAUGUGAUUCCCUGUACCUGAGGGCAGCCUACAUCCAGUAAUCGACACAGAUGCUCCCAAGUGCCAGCUUCCUUCUAGACACUUCCCUCUCAUCAAAGCUGAACAGUGCUGUGCCUAUCCUGCCCAUUGCCUCAGGAAUUGUAGGUGGACAACAAAAUUCAAGUCAAAUCAGAGUAUCUGAAAGAUAAAAAUAGAGCUCAAUGUGGGAUGUGAGCAUCUGAGCAAGGCAUUGCUCUUGCCAUCCCAAAGGCAUGUGUCUUUGAUGGUACAAUUUCAGGUAUAGGACAGCUGAGCCUAGCACAAUGGUUCUCAGAGCAAGGUCCCCAGAUCAACAGUGUCAAAAUCACUCAGAAACUUCCUGGAAAUGCAAAUUAUCAAGUCCCCCCAAAGCCUUCAGAUCUACUGAAUCAGAGAUUGGUGGUGGGCCCAGCAUUGUAUGCCUUGACAAGCUCUCCACGGAUUCUGAUGCACACUUGACAUGAGAACCACUGGCCUAGCAGAUAGAUUUUACUAGGGACUCUUUGUCUAGAAAAUUCCUGCCAUGAAUUGUUUCAUUGUUAGACCAGGGCUUCUCAGCUUUGGCACUGUGGACAUUUUGGCGUUGGACGAUUUGCUGUGCAUUCUGUCCUGUGCAUUGUGGCAUGUUUAGCAGCAUACCUGACCUGCACCCACUAGAUGCCAGUAGUAUCCCUCCCCUAUCAGCCCCUCCACCAGGAGUGACCAACAAAAUUAUCUCCAGACUGCCCAAAUCUCCCCUGGUUGAAACACACUCCUUUGGACAACAUGGAAGACCAGAAGAGCUAUAUGUGAUGAAGCUGAGCCUUCCAAUGUCAAAAACUAGAUGGCAGUUUCCCAUCUUCAGCUUGAUGCUACAGUAUCUGCUGCAUUUGGGCUCCCUGGGAAUAGACUUUGAGGUUGGCAUACAGGAGGUUUAUGGGGGAGUAUGCCCAGGAACAACUCCGGGGAGGAGUGUGGGAGAAGCUGAGCUGUGAGGCACUUGAAACAGAGGCCCCACCAGAAACUAUGGAGUCCCACGACCUUGUGGCAUUGUCCCAAUUGGGGUAAAGGAACAGGUCUCUCCCAUCGAACAGCCAUUGUAGGCUACCCCUUCAAGCAUAACUGCAGAUGAGGCAGCUUCCUGCAGGGAGGCAGCAAUCCCCAGAGGACAGAGUCAUGAGCUGCCAGCAGCCAGCCCUCCAGGCGGCCGGGAACCAGCACAGGUCCUGGGUGCCCAACCACUGCUUCUGCUACUACAUCUGAUUGUCACAGGACUGGGACUUCGGUAUCAGCAGAAAAUCUGUGAUUCUGGUACAGGAUGCUAAGUGCCAUGACAGAGGGUUAAUCCUGAAAGAUAGUUAUCUAUACACCCGAAUGAGGAACAUUGAGUCAAAAUACCUGUUAUCCUUUCUAAAACCUAUUGUGCACAGACCCAGUGCUCCCUGCUGUAUGUUCUCUAUUCCACCAGAGCGCCCUUUGUUCGCAUAAAUACGUCAUCUGUGUAAGUUGCCCUCCCUGGAUCUCCAAACAGGAGCCAGUGUGAAUCAGGCGCGACUGAUUUCCUGGCUCUGUUACGACUCUCCUCAUGAGGAGCUAAUUACAGAUGAUGAGAAGUUUCAGGGUGUGUGGUCUUGCCUUCUUUGAUUUCUGUUACAAAUGACAAAACAGCAGUAAUUAGUACUUGUCUCUGGCCAGCUCUGCUGUCCCAGCCACGGGGAAUGAGGCCUUCAGCCUGCAACCUCAGCACUGCCUGCCUCGGGCCAAUCAGAACAGACUCCUCAGUGUUCUAGACAUCCCAUCCUCUUCUGGAAGAAGCCUCCCCAUCAAGCCAUCACUUGGCAUUUAUUGAGCUGCUAUGAGGACUCACCUAAAAGUCUGUUCAGCAUGUGACCCCCAUGCCCUGCCAAGUGAUGUGAGCCCAGUCUACCACCAAGCAGACCUGUCUACAACACUAGUGAGCCCAGUGUAUGCUGAAUGUCCCUGUGAAAACUUAGAUUCUUUAAUACCACUUAUUUCCGGGACUUAUAAUCCUGACAAGGAUGUCACCAGUAGAAAUACUAGAAAGAAAAUUUUGUAUUGCUUUCAAAUGUGAAAUCUGACUCUCACUAAUCACCUAGGUUACAAAAUAUAAAUUAAAGCUGCCAUAACAUGCCAAGGAGGAAAUGCCCCAGAAUGGGUCUUUUUCCCUUCAGGAAUUUGCCCCCAACAUGAACUUUUUAUUGAGAUGCUGAGCUCAUGUGGCUGUUUCUACCCUAGACUUGUAAGCACCUUGAUCCUGUCUCUGUUCUGACGGUGGAAGCUCACAAUCUGGGGGCCAGGGCUUUCAGGGGAUCCCAGACUGAGAUGGAAAAAGAAAAGAAACCUCAGCCCACCGUUUGUCUAAGAUUUUGUCAGAGAGCCUCAAUUACAACAACAAAAAAGCAAAACACUCUGUACUUUUGUUAGACUAUAUGUCUGCCAGUGCUCCUAUUUAUGGUCCAGAAAAUAGGAAAAUAUUUCUACUGAAGGCAAAAAAAAAUUGUAGCGGCAACCCUGUACUUAAAAUCUUCUCCUUGUGAUCACAUUUGUAGAAGCCGUGGUCGUUCACCUAUUUGGAUUACAUGCUGCACUGUUGAGUCUGAUUCAUUCCUCCACCCACCCCUCCCCUCCAGGGGCUUCAUCAAUUUCAGAUGGUCUUCCCCCACUUGGAGCCCAGAAAAAGGAUGCCAAGAUCCCAGAAGAGAAGUAGCAUUUUUAGCUCUGCUUGCCCAUCCCUGCCAAAUGAGCACCUAACUUUCUCAGAAGUAUGCGGGAAGAUAGUAUCUUCAUCCACUUUGCCAUAUGGCUGCAUGGAGAUAAC